rnacentral:rRNA from 1 species
CAGACCUUGACAUGCCGGUCGCGGAUUAGAGAGAUCUUUUCCUUCAGUUCGGCUGGACCGUGCACAGGUGCUGCACGGCUGUCGUCAGCUCGUGUCGUGAGAUGUUGGGUUAAGUCCCGCAACGAGCGCAACCCUCAUCACUAGUUGCCAGCAGUUCGGCUGGGCACUCUAGCGAAACUGCCGGGGUCAACCCGGAGGAAGGUGGGGAUGACGUCAAGUCUUCAUGGCCCUUACGGUCUGGGCUACACACGUGCUACAAUGGUAGUGACAAUGCGCAGCUACUCCGCGAGGAGAUGCUAAUCGCCAAAAACUAUCUCAGUUCGGAUUGGACUCUGCAACUCGAGUCCGUGAAGUCGGAAUCGCUAGUAAUCGUAGAUCAGCAUGCUACGGUGAAUACGUUCCC